rnacentral:rRNA from 1 species
UAAUACGGAGGGUGCAAGCGUUAUCCGGAAUCAUUGGGUUUAAAGGGUCCGCAGGCGGUCAAUUAAGUCAGAGGUGAAAUCCCGUCGCUCAACGACGGAACUGCCUUUGAUACUGGUCGACUUGAGUUAUACGGAAGUAGAUAGAAUAAGUAGUGUAGCGGUGAAAUGCAUAGAUAUUACUUAGAAUACCGAUUGCGAAGGCAGUCUACUACGUAUAUACUGACGCUCAUGGACGAAAGCGUGGGGAGCGAACAGGAUUAGAUACCCUGGUAGUCCACGCCGUAAACGAUGGACACUAGUUGUUGGAAUUAUUCAGUGACUAAGCGAAAGUGAUAAGUGUCCCACCUGGGGAGUACGAUCGCAAGAUUG